rnacentral:rRNA from 1 species
AGAGUUUGAUCCUGGCUCAGGACGAACGCUGGCGGCGUGCUUAACACAUGCAAGUCGAACGAGGAUACAGGAGAGCUUGCUCGAAUGUAUCCGAGUGGCGGACGGGUGAGUAACGCGUGAAUAAUCUGUCUCAUACAGGGGGAUAACGCAUCGAAAGAUGUGCUAAUACCGCGUAGGACCACAGCGUCGCAUGGCGCAGGGGUGAAAGGAGCAAUCCAGUAUGAGGUGAGUUCGCGUCUGAUUAGAUAGUUGGUGAGGUAACGGCCCACCAAGGCGACGAUCGGUAGCCGGACUGAGAGGUUGAACGGCCACAUUGGGACUGAGACACGGCCCAGACUCCUACGGGAGGCAGCAGUGGGGGAUAUUGCGCAAUGGGCGAAAGCCUGACGCAGCAACGCCGCGUGAGUGAUGAAGGCUUUCGAGUCGUAAAGCUCUGUCAGAGGGGAAGAACAACCUUGAGUUGAAUAAGCUUAGGGUCUGACGGUACCCUCAGAGGAAGCACCGGCUAACUCCGUGCCAGCAGCCGCGGU